CCCUUAGAUGUUCUGGGCCGCACGCGUGCUACACUGAACGGUUCAAUGGGUAAGGUAGUGCGAAAGCAUGACCUAAUCUCGAAAUCCGUUCGUGCUGGGGAUAGAAGCUUGCAAUUAUCCUUCUUGAACGAGGAAUACCUUGUAAGCGUGAGUCAUCAUCUCACGCUGAAUACGUCCCCGCCCUUUGUACACACCGCCCGUCGCUCCUACCGAUUGAGUGUUCCGGUGAGGCUUUGGGAGAAUGGCCUCAACAUGAGUUUAUCGUGUUUUGCCGUUUGAACUUAGUCAAACCUUAUCACUUAGAGGAAGGAGAAGUCGUAACA
rnacentral:rRNA from 1 species